rnacentral:rRNA from 1 species
CUACGGGCCGCAGCAGUGAGGAAUAUUGCACAAUGGGGGGAACCCUGAUGCAGCAACGCCGCGUGGAGGAUGACACAUUUCGGUGUGUAAACUCCUUUUAUAUGUCAAGAAAAUGACGGUAGCAUAUGAAUAAGCACCGGCUAACUCCGUGCCAGCAGCCGCGGUAAUACGGAGGGUGCAAGUGUUACUCGGAAUCACUGGGCGUAAAGGACGCGUAGGCGGGUUGGAAAGUCAGGUGUGAAAUCCUACAGCUUAACUGUAGAACUGCACUUGAAACUUCUAAUCUAGAGUAUGGGAGGGGGAGAUGGAAUUAGUGGUGUAGGGGUAAAAUCCGUAGAUAUCACUAGGAAUACCUAAAGCGAAGGCGAUCUCCUGGAACAUUACUGACGCUAAGGCGUGAAAGCGUGGGGAGCAAACAGGAUUAGAUACCCUGGUAGUC